GACGGAGGAUGCAAGCGUUAUCCGGAAUAACUGGGCGUAAAGCGCACGUAGGCGGAUUUGUAAGUCAGGGGUGAAAUCCCGGGGCUCAACCUCGGAACUGCCUUUGAUACUGCAAGUCUAGAGUCCGGAAGAGGUGAGUGGAAUUCCUAGUGUAGAGGUGAAAUUCGUAGAUAUUAGGAAGAACACCAGUGGCGAAGGCGGCUCACUGGUCCGGAACUGACGCUGAGGUGCGAAAGCGUGGGGAGCAAACAGG
rnacentral:rRNA from 1 species